rnacentral:lncRNA from 1 species
UGGGUGGUGUGCGGUGUAGUUUGGGUACAGGCUGGACUAGCCAGUUGGCGGUCCGUUGAGAUUAGGUCAAUGUAAUUGAGUUGUAGUUAGUGAUGUAUGUCUAUGUCUACAGAGAGUAUCGUUUGGAUAGGCAUAUAGCUGUAGAGUUUCUACUUAUUUUACUAUCCUUUGCAUACCUUUCCUAUAGACUUAGUGGGUAGGCCGUUGGGGUCGGUGAUGGUACCCAUUAAGGACUACUCUGUUUUGCAGUAGUUCUCACACCCAGUUGUUGCCAUCUUUUGCAGAGCCUUCGUCUGCUACUGCUGUUGCUGAUUCUGAUCGAAGUAAGGAAGUCGCGAGCUAGAUCCCUAUCGAUCGAUCACCUACUAGAGGAGUUCUCCUACUAGAGGUAGUUUUUGUUAUGCCAUGUACAUACAUGAUGUUUAUUUUAGUUUUUGUUCUGUGAGAGGCUGGUGGUUUUUGAAACUUGUAUGUACAGUGGACCGUUUAUGUAUUUAUAUAUGUUUCAGUUUUAGCGGCUCUAUACUUAUGGUUGUAGCUAUGAUCUGUUUAUAGGUACAGCUAUCGCUUCGUAUAUAUGAAAAAUUUCUAUGUAUACGGCGGAUCUGUUGGCUAGUCCGAAAAACGUAGCAAUCCAGGGCAUGACAA